rnacentral:rRNA from 1 species
GGACUACCCGGGUUUCUAAUCCUGUUUGAUCCCCUUGCUCUCGCGCCUCAGCGUCAGGUUAUAGCUAGAGAACCGCUUUCGCCACCGGUGUUCUUCCACAUAUCUACGCAUUUCACCGCUACACGUGGAAUUCCGUUCUCUCCGCCAUCCCUCGAGAUCUACAGUUUCAAAUGCAGCUCCGAAUUUGAGCCUCGGAAUUUCACAUCUGACUUAUACAUCCGCCUACGCGCCCUUUACGCCCAAUAAUUCCGAUUAAUGCUUGCACCCUCCGUAUUACCGCGGCUGCUGGCAC